rnacentral:lncRNA from 1 species
UCACAGUUACACUUCAUAUUUAUUUAAUACACUUAAUUACACUUAAUACAUACACUUCAUUUUUUAUAUUCAUAAAAAAAGUGCACGUAAGUAGUAAUAUGUAUAGCAUGGCCUAGUUUUACUAUUAUUAUUGUCACAUAUGUAUUACACAUCUAAGAAAAAUCUCGAACACACAUCAAACAUUAACAGCAGUUAAUCUAAAAUAGGAAAAGAGGGAAUUUAGAUGUAAAUCAUACCUACAAAUCAUGAAAAGCAAAUAGCCAAGGUUUUCAUUACAAUUCUGACUUUUAGUAUCCAAACUAAAAGAUCCAAAAUGGAAGCCUUUUAAAGAGAAAAGCAAGACAGGACGAGAAGGCAGGCUGAGCGUCUCCCAGCACCACCAAAUGGGCACACCUCAAAGCCUUACUCAGUUCUGACUUCAUGGUGCUCUAGUCCUA